rnacentral:pre_miRNA from 1 species
ACUGGGUUCGUAUGGUGCAUAGAUGCAUUAGCAAUUCUAGCACCAUUUGAAUUCAGUUC